AGCGAACGGACGAGAAGCUUGCUUCUCUGAUGUUAGCGGCGGACGGGUGAGUAACACGUGGAUAACCUACCUAUAAGACUGGGAUAACUUCGGGAAACCGGAGCUAAUACCGGAUAAUAUUUUGAACCGCAUGGUUCAAAAGUGAAAGACGGUCUUGCUGUCACUUAUAGAUGGAUCCGCGCUGCAUUAGCUAGUUGGUAAGGUAACGGCUUACCAAGGCAACGAUGCAUAGCCGACCUGAGAGGGUGAUCGGCCACACUGGAACUGAGACACGGUCCAGACUCCUACGGGAGGCAGCAGUAGGGAAUCUUCCGCAAUGGGCGAAAGCCUGACGGAGCAACGCCGCGUGAGUGAUGAAGGUCUUCGGAUCGUAAAACUCUGUUAUUAGGGAAGAACAUAUGUGUAAGUAACUGUGCACAUCUUGACGGUACCUAAUCAGAAAGCCACGGCUAACUACGUGCCAGCAGCCGCGGUAAUACGUAGGUGGCAAGCGUUAUCCGGAAUUAUUGGGCGUAAAGCGCGCGUAGGCGGUUUUUUAAGUCUGAUGUGAAAGCCCACGGCUCAACCGUGGAGGGUCAUUGGAAACUGGAAAACUUGAGUGCAGAAGAGGAAAGUGGAAUUCCAUGUGUAGCGGUGAAAUGCGCAGAGAUAUGGAGGAACACCAGUGGCGAAGGCGACUUUCUGGUCUGUAACUGACGCUGAUGUGCGAAAGCGUGGGGAUCAAACAGGAUUAGAUACCCUGGUAGUCCACGCCGUAAACGAUGAGUGCUAAGUGUUAGGGGGUUUCCGCCCCUUAGUGCUGCAGCUAACGCAUUAAGCACUCCGCCUGGGGAGUACGACCGCAAGGUUGAAACUCAAAGGAAUUGACGGGGACCCGCACAAGCGGUGGAGCAUGUGGUUUAAUUCGAAGCAACGCGAAGAACCUUACCAAAUCUUGACAUCCUU
rnacentral:rRNA from 1 species